rnacentral:ncRNA from 1 species
UGUCUUCAGGGCAGGGUGAAAUUCCCGACCGGCGGUAAAGUCCGCGAGCGUGUAUCACGCAGAAUUGGUGUAACUCCAAUACCGACAGUAAAGUCUGGAUGAAAGAAGAUG